CAUAGCUCAGUGGCAGAGAAUUCGACUGCAGAUCGAGAGGUCCUCGGUUCACAUCCGGGUGCUCCCU
rnacentral:tRNA from 1 species